AAGUGCAGAAUACAAAGUACAGCAGAUUGAUUUGCAUCAUGUCAAAACCAGAUUGUCCAAGGGAUACAUCGGUUGCCGCUGCCGCACCCCUCCUGUCGAUGUUCCAUGACUCCAUUCUUGCUGGCCACUUUGUCCCAAGCAUUUCACCAAACAGUUAGGCCUCGUUUGGGAGCUAGGUAACAGCGCACCCCGGUCAGAGACCACAGGUGGGGCAUUACCUGCAGUGUCUAUCACCUGUGUGGUGCUGCCCGGCGGGGCUCCUUUACCCUGUGGCCGUUUGGGUACCCGGUAGUGGAACGAACUACAACCUGCCCUCCCUGCUGAGAAUUUGCUCAGAUUAGACAGCAGGAUGACAGCUUAACUUAAGGCAAGCCUGCGAAGAUCAGUAGGGUCAACAGGAUGAAUACGCAUGUUCUGCUCUUUUUGUUCAUGUGCUCAAAAUACAUGAGCAAAGUUAGAAUAUGCAAAUUUGGGCAAUAUUAGAACAAUAUUCAGCACAGGACAACAUCAGAACAAAAGAAGCAGAUAGCACUUGCUGGGAGAGCAAAUAAAGCCAAUACUUCUAGAUGCUUAACAUGAAACACCUUUGACUGAUGCUCAUGUGGCAAGCCCCAAUUUUCUGCAAGGAAUAAAACAAGAAACUUAGAACUUACCUUAACAUUAAGGACAUUUUAUCAAUAUGUUUUAGUUUGCUACACUGGAUCAAUUGAAGUCAAACUAGCUAUCUCCUAGGAAAGAAAGAUAGAAUGUAUAAUGUAAUUAUUCGAUUGAAUACCUUCUAAUUUUGAGAGGAUUUCUUAGUUGUUAUACCAUGUUCCUUCAGCCUCUCAAUUGAUAUAUCC
rnacentral:lncRNA from 1 species